AGAGUUUGAUCAUGGCUCAGAACGAACGCUGGCGGCAGGCUUAACACAUGCAAGUCGAACGCACCGCAAGGUGAGUGGCAGACGGGUGAGUAACGCGUGGGAACCUUCCUUUCGAUACGGAACAACUCAGGGAAACUUGAGCUAAUACCGUAUACGCCCUUCGGGGGAAAGAUUUAUCGUCGAAAGAUGGGCCCGCGUAGGAUUAGCUAGUUGGUGAGGUAAUGGCUCACCAAGGCUACGAUCCUUAGCUGGUCUGAGAGGAUGAUCAGCCACACUGGGACUGAGACACGGCCCAGACUCCUACGGGAGGCAGCAGUGGGGAAUAUUGGACAAUGGGCGAAAGCCUGAUCCAGCCAUGCCGCGUGAGUGAAGAAGGCCUUAGGGUUGUAAAGCUCUUUUACCCGGGAAGAUAAUGACUGUACCGGGAGAAUAAGCCCCGGCUAACUUCGUGCCAGCCGCCGCGGUAAUAC
rnacentral:rRNA from 1 species